ensembl:lncRNA
CUAAAACGUCAUAGUUUUGUAUGUCGUCCAAAAUGGGGUAAAAACGUCAUAGUUUAGUAUGUCGUCCAAAAUGUGACAAAAACGUCAUAGUUUAGUAUGUGGUCCAAAAUCUGGAAGAAACGUCAUAGUUUAGUAUGUUGUCCAAAAUGUGGUGUUACGUCCCCGAGAACUAGGAGAUGAGGGGAGUAACAAAUAUGCAGAAAACCGAGUAAAGAGGCCUGGAAACUGAUUGUGUAGCAGACAAAGUAUUUAUUUUACAAAAAGGAAACAGAAGGAAGAUACAGUACAAGACAAGCUUAUUAACACAACGCCGCUCCAAAAUCAAAGCAUCACACUUCUGAUUGUAGCAGAACGCGAGACACCAACACGGAACCCUUGCCGCUGAUCUGGCCCUCUGGCAAAGAUAAGAUCAGGUUGGCUUGACUUGUAACCAUCUCUGAUUGCGAGGUAGCUGCAGGUGUAUCUGUCCACUCCCACCUGGCGUAACCUGUCUGCUAAAAGAAAAAUUAAAAAGAAGGGAGAGAACAGGAACAAAAACACAACCAACCCCACCUGCACACAACCACACCAAGGAACUUAACAGUGGGAAAAAUGUCUUAGUUUAGUAUGUCAUCCAAAAUGUGCAAAAACAAGUCAUAGUUUAGUAUGUCGUCCAAAAUGUGACAAAAAUGUCAUAGUUUAGUAUGUCGUCAAAAAUGGGGAAAAAACGUCAUAGUUUAGUAUGUCAUCCAAAAUCUGGAAAAAAAAGCCAUAGUUUAGUAUGUCGUCAAAAAUGGGGAAAAAACGUCAUAGUUUAGUAUGUCAUCCAAAAUCUGGAAAAAAAAGCCAUAGUUUAGUAUGUCAUCCUAAAUCUGGAAAAAACGUCAUGUUUAGUCUGUCGUCUAAAAUCUGGAAAAAACGUCAUACUGUAGUAUGGCAUGAAAAAUGGGGUAAAAAUGUCAGAUUACUAUGUUGUCCAAAAUGUGAGAAAAACGUCAUACUUUAGGAUGUCAUCCGAAAUGUGACAAAAAUGUCAUAGUUUUGUAUGUCGUCCAAAAUGUGACAAAAACGUCAUAGUUUAUUAUGUCGUCAAAAAUGGGGUAAAAACGUCAUGGUUUAGUAUGUCGCCCAAAAUGUCACUAAAACGUCAUAGUUUAGUAUGUCGUCCAAAAUGUUACAAAAACAUCAUACUUUAGUAUGUAAAGGAG